AAUCUUCUCAAGAUCAUAACAUCUUGUUCAAGCUUGGACUACAACGGUAGAGAUUUUAAGGCUCUAGUAUUUGAGUUCAUGUCCAAUGGAAAUCUAGAUAGCUGGCUGCACCAGAAUGAAGAACAGGAAUCAAGAAAAUUGAACCUUAUGCAAAGGUUAGAUAUAGCAAUUGAUGUGGCCUAUGCAUUAGAUUACCUUCACUACCGUUGUGAACCUCCCAUUGUUCAUUGUGAUCUGAAGCCAAGCAAUGUUCUCCUUGAUGAUGAUAUGGUUGCUCAUGUUGGUGACUUUGGGCUGGCCAAACUACUUUCUCU
rnacentral:lncRNA from 1 species